UGCACAAAUGGUUAGUUGCCUACUACCAA
rnacentral:piRNA from 1 species